CCUACGGGGGGCAGCAGUAGGGAAUCUUCCGCAAUGGACGAAAGUCUGACGGAGCAACGCCGCGUGAGCGAAGAAGGUCUUCGGAUUGUAAAGCUCUGUUGUUAGGGAAGAACAAGUAUGGUUCGAAUAGGGCCGUACCUUGACGGUACCUAACGAGAAAGCCACGGCUAACUACGUGCCAGCAGCCGCGGUAAUACGUAGGUGGCAAGCGUUGUCCGGGAUCAUUGAGCGUAAAGCGCGCGCAGGCGGUGAAAGCCCACGGCUCAACCGUGGAGGGUCAUUGGAAACUGGGGGACUUGAGUGCAGAAGAGGAGAGCGGAAUUCCACGUGUAGCGGUGAAAUGCGUAGAGAUGUGGAGGAACACCAGUGGCGAAGGCGGCUCUCUGGUCUGUAACUGACGCUGAGGCGCGAAAGCGUGGGGAGCAAACAGGAUUAGAUACCCCGGUAGUC
rnacentral:rRNA from 1 species